CUGAGCUUCCAGUCUAGAAUUUCCAAGCUUUGGAGGCAACACAGAGAAAAGGAAGUCAUAAGGAUACAUACUAUAUGUGUGUAUUUUCCAGCUUAUGAGACUAUAACUGGUCGAUUGUGUGUUCCUGUGCAAUUCAUCAAAACAAUAUCACUGAGACAGCAAAAGGCUGGACAAGGCAAGGGAAUGAAAGACAAUUGAUGAUUUACAGACAGAUAUGAGAUAUGAAAAACAGACUGAUCUAGAGAUAAAAAUAGGGAGUUUCAGUCAAAUUUUCUUUGGAUAGACUUUUGGAGAGGUGGAAAGAAGGAAGAAAGGAAGGAAGGAAGGAAGGAAUAAGUUCUCACUAUGUUCCAGAUUUAAAACCGCUGGAGGGCAAGGAUCAAGUCUUUCUAUUUAAAAUAGUGAUUUGGACAAAAACACAAUAGUAUUUAUUAAUUCUGUCAAACACUACACCUUUGGAUGUAAAUUUGUUGUGAAAUUUUCCCCUUCCUUCAAAAACAAC